rnacentral:rRNA from 1 species
AACGAACGCUGGCGGCGUGCCUAACACAUGCAAGUCGAGGGAGAAAGCCCGCAAGGGUUAGUAAACCGGCGAACGGGUGCGUAACACGUGGAUAAUCUACCUUCCUGACCGGAACAACUGGCCGAAAGGCUUGCUAAUACCGGAUAAGACCACGGGGGCUUUGGCUCCUGAGGGAAAAGGUGGCCUCUGUAAACAAGCUAUCACAGGGAGAUGAGUCCGCGGCCCAUCAGCUAGUUGGCGGGGUAAAGGCCCACCAAGGCAACGACGGGU